rnacentral:rRNA from 1 species
CACGUAGGCGGUCUGCUAAGUUCGGAGUGACAGUCACCAGCUUAACUGGUGAAGGACUUUGAAAACUGGCGGACUUGAGAGCGAAAGAGGGACAUGGAAUUCCGGGUGGAGCAGUGAAAUGCGUAGAGAUCCGGAGGAACACCAAAGGCGAAGGCAGUGUCCUGGCUCGUUUCUGACGCUGAGGUGCGAAAGCCAGGGGAGCGAACGGGAUUAGAUACCCCGGUAGUCCUGGCCGUAAACGAUGACCACUAGGCGUGGGAGGGAUCGACCCUUUCCGUGCCGUAGUCAACACAUUAAGUGGUCCGCCUGGGGAGUACGGUCGCAAGAUUAAA